rnacentral:rRNA from 1 species
GACGAACGCUGGCGGCGCGCUUAACACAUGCAAGUCGAACGGAAAGGCCUGCUUUCCCUUGUGGAUUGCGGGUACUCGAGUGGCGAACGGGUGAGUAACACGUGAGUGAUCUGCCCCCAACUUGGGUAUAAGCCUGGGAAACUGGGUCUAAUUCCCGAUAGGACUGCAGGGUGGUGCCUGUGGUGGAAAACGAUUUUCUAGUGGUUGGGGAUGAGCUCGCGGCCUAUCAGCUUGUUGGUGGGGUAAUGGCCUACCAAGGCGGCGACGGGUAGCCGGCCUGAGAGGGUGGACGGCCACAUUGGGACUGAGAUACGGCCCAGACUACUACGGGAGGCAGCAGUGGGGAAUAUUACACAAUGGGCGGAAGCCUGAUGCAGCGACGCCGCGUGGGGGAUGACGGCCUUCGGGUUGUAAACUCCUUUCGACCGCGAGGAAGCCACCUGGUUGGAAGGGUGGUGACGGUAGUGGUAGAAGAAGCACCGGCUAACUACGUG